UUAACGACAAUGACUGCUUUCAUAGUCCACGAUUUGGCGAGCGAGCGACCGGUCGUUCGCCCAAUCGUGGACUAUGGAAGCAGCCAAUGAUUGGCAAGAUAUGCUAACCC
rnacentral:pre_miRNA from 1 species